CCUUAGAGUUCGGAAUAACCUGCCGAAAGGCGGGCUAAUACUGGAUAGAGCGAUGGAAGUCGUAAUGACUUUUUCGGGAAAGGGAGCUUGAUAAGAGCCCUCGCUUUAAGAUGAGCCUGCGUCUGAUUAGUUAGUUGGUGAGGUAACGGCUCACCAAGACGAUGAUCAGUAGCUGGUCUGAGAGGAUGAUCAGCCACACUGGAACUGAAACACGGUCCAG
rnacentral:rRNA from 1 species